AGAGUUUGAUCCUGGCUCAGAUUGAACGCUGGCGGCAGGCUUAACACAUGCAAGUCGAACGGUAACAGGAAGGAAGCUUGCUUUCUUUGCUGACGAGUGGCGGACGGGUGAGUAAUGCUUGGGAAUCUGGCUUAUGGAGGGGGAUAACUACGGGAAACUGUAGCUAAUACCGCGUAAUAUCUUCGGAUUAAAGGGUGGGACCGUAAGGCCACCUGCCAUAAGAUGAGCCCAAGUGGGAUUAGGUAGUUGGUGGGGUAAAGGCCUACCAAGCCGACGAUCUCUAGCUGGUCUGAGAGGAUGACCAGCCACACUGGAACUGAGACACGGUCCAGACUCCUACGGGAGGCAGCAGUGGGGAAUAUUGCACAAUGGGGGGAACCCUGAUGCAGCCAUGCCGCGUGAAUGAAGAAGGCCUUCGGGUUGUAAAGUUCUUUCGGUGAUGAGGAAGGCGGUUGUUUUAAUAGAACAAUCGAUUGACGUUAGUCACAGAAGAAGCACCGGCUAACUCCGUGCCAGCAGCCGCGGUAAUACGGAGGGUGCGAGCGUUAAUCGGAAUGACUGGGCGUAAAGGGCACGCAGGCGGUGACUUAAGUGAGAUGUGAAAGCCCCGGGCUUAACCUGGGAAUUGCAUUUCAUACUGGGUCGCUAGAGUAUUUUAGGGAGGGGUAGAAUUCCACGUGUAGCGGUGAAAUGCGUAGAGAUGUGGAGGAAUGCCGAAGGCGAAGGCAGCCCCUUGGGAAUAUACUGACGCUCAUGUGCGAAAGCGUGGGGAGCAAACAGGAUUAGAUACCCUGGUAGUCCACGCUGUAAACGCUGUCGAUUUGGGGAUUGGGCUUUAAGCUUGGUGCCCGUAGCU
rnacentral:rRNA from 1 species